rnacentral:rRNA from 2 species
GGCGAGGGGAGUGAAAAAGAACCUGAAACCGUGUACGUACAAGCAGUGGGAGCACCCUUCGGGGUGUGACUGCGUACCUUUUGUAUAAUGGGUCAGCGACUUAUAUUCUGUAGCAAGGUUAACCGAAUAGGGGAGCCGGAGGGAAACCGAGUCUUAACCGGGCGUUAAGUUGCAGGGUAUAGACCCGAAACCCGGUGAUCUAGCCAUGGGCAGGUUGAAGGUUGGGUAACACUAACUGGAGGACCGAACCGACUAAUGUUGAAAAA